GACGGAGGAUGCAAGUGUUAUCCGGAAUCACUGGGCGUAAAGCGUCUGUAGGUGGUUUAAAAAGUCCACUGUUAAAGAUUGAAGCUUAACUUCAAAAUGCCGUGGAAACUUUUAAACUUGAGUAUGAUAGGGGUAGAGGGAAUUUCCAGUGGAGCGGUGAAAUGCGUAGAUAUUGGAAAGACCACCAAUGGCGAAGGCACUCUACUGGGCCAUUACUGACACUGAGAGACGAAAGCUAGGGGAGCGAAUGGG
rnacentral:rRNA from 1 species